UUUAUGGUUCCAGUCCCUACUAUGGAGUUGAUAAAGAUAUAUAUGAACAGAGAGAUCCUACACCGGUGCCAUAUACUGACUACCUGGUCAGUGGAGCAAUAAUAGGAGAGUUGAACUGCCUAACUACCCAAGAAAUGGAAUAUACAGUUAUCUGUGAAACUGCUGUUCAGACGUGUUUUAUUUCUAUGGACGACUUGUUUGAAGCGUUUUUACAAUACCCAUCUUUGGAAUAUAAAAUAUGGUUAAAACUUGCUCUUGAGAUCACUAGUAAAAUUUUCAAGGAAAACCUUGCUUGCCAGUUACCAUUGGAAAUAUUGUGGAAACAGAUGGUAGCAGUCAUCAUUCACUAUGCUCAGAUUCUAAUACUUCUUUGGCAGCUCAAGGACAAUCCAUUGCUGAGUCAGUCUUAUGAAGGGUUAAAGUGCUCCAGCACCAUCAGCUACCACACAAGAAAUCCAGGCAGAAGUCUUUGAAGGAGAAGAGUUUAGAGUCUACUAUACCCAAAUACCCUAAUGGAUUUUUUGUUGUUGGUAUAAUUGAUUUCCCUUUUUAUUGUGAAAUCUAGUUUGUUCAGGUUUAUCUCCUUUAGUGUUGUUCUGUUGUUCUACUGACAACAUAUAGUGUUAUUACAAUUUUUAUGAAACAAGUUUGAGCACUGCACCUCAUUUGCACAAAGCGCUUUUUUCCAGUAACCCAAACCCAUACCAUGACUUAGUGGCAGUUAGUAAUAGAAAACAAUCCUUUUACCAUCAAGAAGCCUUUUCUAUGGCAAUGGAGGUUACACAUACCCACUGAAAGUCCUUUCCUAGUUAUUGCAGGACACUUUCACUCAAUGGGAGAACUUGACAAUGAAAGCAAAAUUUCAAAAGCUACAUACUUAUGCAGCAAUAAGAAAUAGUUUGCCUUGCCUUUGAACUCCCCGGUUACCACUUCCACUGCUCCUAGGCCCAGGAGCCGCCCCACCUCCUGCUCAAGCAGGGCUACAUGCAAGGGAUCCCCCAGGAAGGACGGGGGCAAGGAGGAAGUAAACUGGAGGGUGUAGCCCGAGGAAAUGGUGUUGAGGACCCCAUCGGUCCAAGGUCAGCCACGGCCACUCAAGCCCACAGCCGACUGGUGAAAGGAAGCUUUAUUGGGGGUGGAUCCCUGAUGAGAACUGGCAGGGUGCCCCUAGGCGUCCCAUCAAAACCGCCUUUUCCCCCACCGGCUUGCCCUUGGAGGACCCAAGCUGGGAGGCAGGGCAAGACUGCCUCUGUGGGCACCUCUUAUAGUCAAACGACUUCUUAGAAGCGGUCUCAUAUUUUGGGUGGGUGGCCUGAGCAGGAGUCUACUGCGGCUUGAAUUUAGUUUCAGCCGGAGUUUGGAGACCCAGAGUCUGGAGAGUCGUGCGCAAGUCUUUCAGGCCAUGCUGCUUUGCAUCCGUUUGUUCCGCAAACAAAGCUUUGCCAUCAAACGGGAGGUCCUGCAGGGAGGUCUGCGCCUCACUGGACAGUCCAGAGAGCAGGAGCCACGACACCCUUCUCAUGGACACCGCUGAGCCCAUGGACCGCGUGGCUGUGUCUUCUGUACGCGAAGCUGCCUGCAAGGUUGCCCUGGCAGCUGCUGUACCCUCCUCCACCAGCGCUUUGAACUCCUUCCUGUCACGCUCCUGGAGGGAGUCCUCAAACUUGGACAGGGGGCCCCACAGAUUGAACUCAU